CUAAUGGAUUGAUGGAGAAGAACGUCUGGAUUCAGAUACAGAAAGUAACAUGGUAGACAUGUACAUAUUUAAAGCAAGUGGAAACCUUUAAAAGAACGAACAACUAAACUAAGAAUUAUGUGCACAUCAUAGGAUAUUGACGUCAAUGGAAACAAAAUGUUUGUACUAGUUGAUCGCAGGAAUAUUGAUGAAAAAGUUAAAAGACAUUCAGUGAUAGGGAUGAAGUGGAGGCCUUAUCGAUAAACAAAGAGUCCCCAGUUCUGGAAAUGGUACAGCGCUGAGAGUAUUUUGAAAGUUAAGAAAGGUGAAAUGUAUAAAGUGAGAUUUCAU
rnacentral:lncRNA from 1 species